UACGUAGGGUCCGAGCGUUGUCCGGAAUUACUGGGCGUAAAGAGCCCGUAGGUGGUUUGUCGCGUUGUUCGUGAAAACUCACAGCUCAACUGUGGGCGUGCGGGCGAUACGGGCAGACUUGAGUACUGCAGGGGAGACUGGAAUUCCUGGUGUAGCGGUGGAAUGCGCAGAUAUCAGGAGGAACACCGGUGGCGAAGGCGGGUCUCUGGGCAGUAACUGACGCUGAGGAGCGAAAGCUAGGGGAGCAAACGGG
rnacentral:rRNA from 1 species